rnacentral:lncRNA from 1 species
CUGUCUCAUAUAUUUGUUCGGGUUUAUAGUUGUUUUCAACAGAGGGCAAGUUUGAUACCAGUUACUUGCUCAUAGUCAAAAGCAGGAGUCAACAUGCUUUCUUAAAAAAAAUUAUUGAUGUUAUUUUCUGCAUAUCUUGACUAGAACUCUACCACCCCAUAUUUGAGGAGUUAAGAACAAGCCAACAUCCCCAGAGAAGAUGGCAGAGCAGAAAGAAGAAAGGAACCUGGAUCUUUAACAAAUUUACCAACCCUGGUUAUGACUCAGCAAGAAGACCCCCACUAGAUGCAACCCCUUGAUCUUGGACUUCCUGGCCUCCAGAAACAUAAGACAAAUAAACUUCUUUUUAUUGUUAUUAUCAUUAAUUUUUUAUUUUUUAUUUCAAUAAGUUUUGGGGAACAGAUGGUAUUUUGUUACAUGAAUAUGCUCAUUAGUGGGGAUUUCUGAGAUUUUGUUGCACCCAUCACUCAAGCAUUGUAUACUGUACCCAAUGUGUAGUCUUUUAUCCCUCCCUCUCCCCCACUCUUUCCUUUGAGUCUCCAAACUCCAAUAUAUCAUUCUUAUGCCUUUGCAUUCUCAUAGCUUAGUUCCCACAUAUGAGUGAGAACAUGUAUGUUUGGUUAUCUAUUCCUGAGUUACUUCACUUAGAAUAAUAGCCUCCAAUUCCAUCCAGGUUGCUGCAAAUCCCAUUAUUUCAUUCCUUUCUUUGGCUGAGCAGUAUUCCAUGGUAUAUGUGUGUGUGUGUGUGUGUGUGUGUGUAUGUGUGUGUGUGUGUAUAUGUAUAUGUAUAUAUACACACACAUAUAUGUAUGUAUAUAACAUUUUUUAUCCACUCAUUGAUUGAUGGGCAUUUGGGCAAUUGUACUGCUAUAUACAUGCAUGUAACAAGUGUCUUUUUUGUAUAAUGACUUCUUUACUUCUGAGCAGAUACAUAGCAGUGGGGUUGCUAGGUCAAAUGGUAGGUCUACUUUUAGUUCUUUAAGGAGUCUCCAUACUGUUUUCUAUAGUGGUUGUGCUAGUUUACAUUCCCACCAACCCAGUAAAAGUGUUCCCUUUUCACCAUAUCCAUGCCAACAUCUAUUUAUUUAUUAUUAUUUUUUGAUUAUGACCAUUAUUGCAGAAGUUACGUGGUAUCGCACUGUGGUUUUGAUUUGUAUUUCCCUGAUAAUUAGUGAUGUUGAACAUUUUUCCAUAUGCUUGUUGGCCAUUGAGACAAAUAAACUUCUAUUGUUUAUAAAUUACCUAGUUUAUGGUAUUCUGUUAUAGCAGCACAAAACGGACUAAGACAGAAACUCACUAGCUGUUCAAUUUCCUUUUUGACCUGUUUUUAAAGUUAUGACAAAUUUCAAAGCUAUUUAUAUAGCUGAAUAUCUCUAUAAAAAUUUCUACACAUUUUCAGUUUAACAAAGCACAGGCUGCUAGACCAUUUCGGGGUCAAGAGGGACUGGGAGCGAGGUGAGGGAAGCACAUAUGCCCUACUUCAAUUUAGCUGUGGGAAAAGAGUUUUGCUGCACCAAAAAAACAUCGAUAUUUCAAGCAAAAAUGUUAGUGGGAAAAGUAAGGGGCAAUAAAAGUAGGUCCAAGCCCUGUAGCAACUUGAUCAAAUGUUACCUGGGCCUUUGCCACCUGAAUGGCCCCGUAGAACUAAGAUGAUUUGAAAUGGUUCCUUGCAGCCAACUGUAGCUUCAAUGAAGCUGUGCCUCUUUUCCACCUCCCGGCGACUCACCAUGCCAAUCUCUGACUUGAGGCAC